rnacentral:rRNA from 1 species
AUUGAACGCUGGCGGCAUGCCUAACACAUGCAAGUCGAACGGCAGCGGGUUUGGUAGCAAUACCAGAUGCCGGCGAGUGGCGGACGGGUGAGUAGAAAGUAGGGAUCUGCCUUAUAGUUGGGGAUAACUUGUGGAAACGCGAGCUAAUACCGGAUGAACACUACGGUGUAAAGUAUGGGACCAGUAAUGGCCAUGCGCUAUAAGAUGAACCUACGUCGGANAGCUAGUUGGUUGGUAAAGGCUGACCAAGGCGAAGAUCCGUAGCUGGUCUGAGAGGAUGAUCAGCCACACUGGGACUGAGCACGGCCCAGACUCCUACGGGAGGCAGCAGUGGGGAAUAUUGGACAA